CCUACGGGGGGCUGCAGUGGGGAAUAUUGGACAAUGGGGGCAACCCUGAUCCAGCCAUGCCGCGUGUGUGAAGAAGGCCCUCGGGUUGUAAAGCACUUUCAGUGAGGAAGAACGCCUGGUGGUUAAUACCCAUCAGGAAAGACAUCACUCACAGAAGAAGCACCGGCUAACUCCGUGCCAGCAGCCGCGGUAAUACGGAGGGUGCGAGCGUUAAUCGGAAUUACUGGGCGUAAAGCGCGCGUAGGUGGCUUGAUAAGCCGGUUGUGAAAGCCCCGGCUCAACCUGGGAACGGCAUCCGGAACUGUCAAGCUAGAGUGCAGGAGAGGAAGGUAGAAUUCCCGGUGUAGCGGUGAAAUGCGUAGAGAUCGGGAGGAAUACCAGUGGCGAAGGCGGCCUUCUGGACUGACACUGACACUGAGGUGCGAAAGCGUGGGUAGCAAACAGGAUUAGAUACCCGAGUAGUC
rnacentral:rRNA from 1 species